rnacentral:rRNA from 1 species
ACGCUCGACACCUACGGAGGCAGCAGUGGGGAAUAUUGCACAAUGGGGGAAACCCUGAUGCAGCGACGCCGCGUGGAGGAAGAAGGUCUUCGGAUUGUAAACUCCUGUUGUUGGGGAAAAAGAGGAUGGUACCCAACAAGGAAGUGACGGCUAACUACGUGCAAGCAGCCGCGGUAAUCUGAGCGGGCUGCAAGGC